rfam:Callithrix jacchus chromosome 2, whole genome shotgun sequence
GCCAGGUGAGGUGGCAUGUGCCUGUAGUCCUAGCUACUUGGGAGGCUGAGGUUGGAGGAUUGCUUAAGCCCAGGAGUUCUGGGAUGUAGCGCACUAUGCCGAUUCGGUGUCCACACUAAUUUCGGCAUCAAUAUGGUGACCUCUCAGGAGCGGGGAACCACUAGGUUGCCUAAGAAGGGGUGAACCGGCCCAGGUCGGAAACAGAGCAGGUCAAAACUCCAGUGCUGAUCAGUAGUGAGAUCGCGCCUGUGACUAGCCGCUGCACUUCAGCCUGGGCAGCAUAGUGAGACCCUGACUCUU